AGCGAACGCUGGCGGCAUGCCUUACACAUGCAAGUCGAACGGUAACGGGUCCUUCGGGAUGCCGACGAGUGGCGAACGGGUGAGUAAUAUAUCGGAACGUGCCCAGUAGUGGGGGAUAACUGCUCGAAAGAGCAGCUAAUACCGCAUACGACCUGAGGGUGCAAGGGGGGGAUCGCAAGACCUCUCGCUCUUGGAGCGGCCGAUAUCAGAUUAGCUAGUUGGUGGGGUAAAGGCCUACCAAGGCAACGAUCUGUAGUUGGUCUGAGAGGACGACCAGCCACACGGGGACUGAGACACGGCCCAGACUCCUACGGGAGGCAGCAGUGGGGAAUUUUGGACAAUGGGCGCAAGCCUGAUCCAGCAAUGCCGCGUGCAGGAAGAAGGCCUUCGGGUUGUAAACUGCUUUUGUCAGGGGAGAAAUCUUCUGGGCUAAUACCCCGGGAGGAUGACGGUACCUGAAGAAUAAGCACCGGCUAACUACGUGCCAGCAGCCGCCGUAACAC
rnacentral:rRNA from 1 species